rnacentral:rRNA from 1 species
GACGAACGCUGGCGGCGUGCUUAACACAUGCAAGUCGUACGGUAAGGCCCUUUCGGGGUACACGAGUGGCGAACGGGUGAGUAACACGUGAGUAACCUGCCCACAACUUUGGGAUAACGCUAGGAAACUGGUGCUAAUACUGGAUAUGUGCUCCUGCUGCAUGGUGGGGGUUGGAAAGCUCCGGCGGUUGUGGAUGGACUCGCGGCCUAUCAGCUUGUUGGUGGGGUAGUGGCCUACCAAGGCGGCGACGGGUAGCCGGCCUGAGAGGGUGACCGGCCACAUUGGGACUGAGAUAAGGCCCAGACGCCUACGGGGGGCAGAAGGGGGGAAUACUGCACAAUGGGCGCAAGCCUGAUGCAGCAACGCCGCGUGCGGGAUGACGGACUUCGGGUUGUAAAACGCUUUCAGCAGGGACGAAGCUUUUUGUGACGGUACCUGCAGAAGAAGCACCGGCUAACUACGUG